rnacentral:rRNA from 1 species
GAGUAAUGCUUGGGAACUUGCCUUUGCGAGGGGGAUAACAGUUGGAAACGACUGCUAAUACCGCAUAAUGUCUACGGACCAAACGGGGCUUAGGCUUCGGCGCAGAGAGAGGCCCAAGUGAGAUUAGCUAGUUGGUGGGGUAAAGGCUCACCAAGGCGACGAUCUCUAGCUGUUCUGAGAGGAAGAUCAGCCACACUGGGACUGAGACACGGCCCAGACUCCUACGGGAGGCAGCAGUGGGGAAUAUUGCACAAUGGGGGGAACCCUGAUGCAGCCAUGCCGCGUGUGUGAAGAAGGCCUUCGGGUUGUAAAGCACUUUCAGUUGUGAGGAAAAGUGAGUAGUUAAUACCUGCUCACCGUGACGUUAACAACAGAAGAAGCACCGGCUAACUCCGUGCCAGCAGCCGCGGUAAUACGGAGGGUGCGAGCGUUAAUCGGAAUUACUGGGCGUAAAGCGCACGCAGGCGGUUUGUUAAGCUAGAUGUGAAAGCCCCGAGCUCAACUUGGGAUGGUCAUUUAGAACUGGCAGACUAGAGUCUUGGAGAGGGGAGUGGAAUUCCAGGUGUAGCGGUGAAAUGCGUAGAUAUCUGGAGGAACAUCAGUGGCGAAGGCGACUCCCUGGCCAAAGACUGACGCUCAUGUGCGAAAGUGUGGGUAGCGAACAGGAUUAGAUACCCUGGUAGUCCACACCGUAAACGCUGUCUACUAGCUGUUUGUGGCUUUAAGCCGUGAGUAGCGAAGCUAACGCGAUAAGUAUGCAUGGCUGNCNUCNGCUCGUG